UGUCAGCUCGGUGUGCACACACACAAGUUAGCGAGGGAUGGAUAGGAAAUGUCCUUCCUCUAGAACACAGCGUCCAGCAGUGACGAACAGGUCUGCAAGAGCCAUAACCUCUCCCGCUGGUACCAGCCAGGCACGCUGAUGGCCAAGUCCCACGCUUGGAAAAUCCCACGUUUUUUAUGCUACCAGCGGGAGCCAAACACGCAGCCCAAAUAAAAGCGGCCGAGUUAAUGAACCCCGCGGCAGGAAUUGCCGGAGCCAGGGCAGAGCCAGGGCUGGAGCCCGGCAUCCCGAAGGACCUUCACCCCAAUGCCACGGGAGCAGCGGGAGCUGCGUGAAAACAAACUGGCUCGUAAACACGGAUUUACACACGCAACGCCACAGCCGCACACAGCUCUGCACAGAAAUCCCUGCCCAGGGCUCCUAAAUCCAGCAGCCCCUACGCACGGGUUCUGCAUUUCGCCAGAGAGCACAGGAUGUGCUUGCUCAGGGCGCUAUAUGUGUUUUAUUUAGCGUUGUGAUGGGAAGCGGAUUUCAGGGCUAGUCAGGCACUCCAGGGCUCGCUGGGGUUGUUUUGGGGUUUUUUUUUCGCUCCAUCUUCCAGUCCGUGAGGCUGCGGGGCUCUGCCCCAGGGGCAUGCGGGGGGCACCUACCAGUCCGUGUGCGGCUCGUCGAUGACAAGGAGCAGCUUGAACUUUCUGCCGACAGCCGCGGAGACGGCGGCGGACGCGUCCACCAG